GUCGAGGGGCAGCGGGAUUGAGGCUUGCUUCAAUUGCCGGCGACCGGCGCACGGGUGAGUAACGCGUAUCCAACCUUCCGUACACUCAGGGAUAGCCUUUCGAAAGAAAGAUUAAUACCUGAUGGUAUGAUGAGAUUGCAUGAUAGCAUCAUUAAAGAUUUAUCGGUGUACGAUGGGGAUGCGUUCCAUUAGGUAGUAGGCGGGGUAACGGCCCACCUAGCCAACGAUGGAUAGGGGUUCUGAGAGGAAGGUCCCCCACAUUGGAACUGAGACACGGUCCAAACUCCUACGGGAGGCAGCAGUGAGGAAUAUUGGUCAAUGGACGAGAGUCUGAACCAGCCAAGUAGCGUGAAGGAUGAAGGUCCUGCGGAUUGUAAACUUCUUUUAUAAGGGAAUAAACCCUCCCACGUGUGGGAGCUUGUAUGUACCUUAUGAAUAAGCAUCGGCUAACUCCGUGCCAGCAGCCGCGGUAAUACGGAGGAUGCGAGCGUUAUCCGGAUUUAUUGGGUUUAAAGGGAGCGCAGACGGGUCGUUAAGUCAGCUGUGAAAGUUUGGGGCUCAACCUUAAAAUUGCAGUUGAUACUGGCGUCCUUGAGUGCGGUUGAGGUGUGCGGAAUUCGUGGUGUAGCGGUGAAAUGCUUAGAUAUCACGAAGAACUCCGAUUGCGAAGGCAGCACACUAAUCCGUAACUGACGUUCAUGCUCGAAAGUGUGGGUAUCAAACAGGAUUAGAUACCCUGGUAGUCCACACGGUAAACGAUGGAUACUCGCUGUUGGCGAUAUACUGUCAGCGGCUUAGCGAAAGCGUUAAGUAUCCCACCUGGGGAGUACGCCGGCAACGGUGAAACUCAAAGGAACUGGAGGAAGUUAGGGUUCUGAAU
rnacentral:rRNA from 1 species